rnacentral:rRNA from 1 species
UACGGAGGGUGCAACCGUUGCUCGGAAUCAUUGGGCGUAAAGCGCACGUAGGCGGUCUGUUAAGUCGGAUGUGAAAGCCCUCGGCUCAACCGAGGAAGUGCAUACGAAACUGGCGGACUUGAAUAUGGAAGAGGGUCGCGGAAUUCCCGGUGUAGAGGUGAAAUUCGUAGAUAUCGGGAGGAACACCAGUGGCGAAGGCGGCGACCUGGGCCAAUAUUGACGCUGAGGUGCGAAAGCGUGGGGAGCAAACAGG